AUCCAAAUGACGAGUCCUGAAUAGGACGAAACGCGCAUCAAACUAGAU
rfam:Schistosoma mattheei strain Denwood, Zambia genome assembly, scaffold: SMTD_scaffold0010217